rnacentral:rRNA from 1 species
ACGUAGGGUGCGAGCGUUAAUCGGAAUUACUGGGCGUAAAGCGUGCGCAGGCGGUUAUAUAAGUCAGAUUUGAAAGUCCCGGGCUCAACCCGGGGACGGCGUUUGAGACUGUAUGACUAGAGUGUGGCAGAGGGGGGUGGAAUUCCACGUGUAGCGGUGAAAUGCGUAGAGAUGUGGAGGAACACCGAUGGCGAAGGCAGCCUCCUGGGCUAAUACUGACGCUCAUGCGCGAAAGCGUGGGGAGCAAACAG